GUGCCCAUAGCUCAAUUGGAUAGAGCGUUGGUCUACGGAACCAAAGGUUGGGGGUUCGACCCCCUCUGGGCACGCCA
rnacentral:tRNA from 1 species